rnacentral:rRNA from 1 species
UACGGGGGGAGCAAGCGUUGUUCGGAUUUACUGGGCGUAAAGGGCGCGUAGGCGGCUUUGCAAGUGGCGGGUGAAAUCCCUCGGCUUAACCGAGGAACUGCCUGCCAGACUGUGAGGCUUGAGACCGGGAGAGGUGAGUGGAACUGCGAGUGUAGAGGUGAAAUUCGUAGAUAUUCGCAAGAACACCAGUGGCGAAGGCGGCUCACUGGCCCAUUACUGACGCUGAGGCACGAAAGCGUGGGGAGCAAACAGG